AAGUAAUAAAUUAUUAAUAUUUUUUUUUGUAGAGUUUAUUUAUAUAAAUAAAUUUAAAUUAAAGAGUUUUUGUAUUGUUUAGAAAUAAAAUAAUUUUUAUUAUAGUGAAUUUGUAUUGUAAAAGAUUUUUGAGAAAUUAUUUUAUUUAUUUAAAAGUAAAAUUUAAUUUUUGUACCUUUUGUAUCAGGGUUUAUUAAAUAAAAAUUAUAGAUUUAGUAUUCUCGAAUUUAAAGGAGUCAAAAUAAUAUGAUAGUUUUUGUUUCAUAAAAAUUAUUAAUAUUUUUUUAGUAAUGAAAUGUUAUUCGUCUUUAAAUAUAUCUAGUUUUUUAAGAAGUAAAUAUAAUUUACAUGUUAAUUAAUUAAUAAUUUACUUUUUAAAUUUAUUAAUUAUUAAUAUGAAGAUAUUAAGGGAUAAGCUUUAAUAUAAGAAUUAUAAUUUUUAUUUAUUGUGAUUAAUUGUAGAUUUAGAAAUAGUUAACAAUAAAAAUUUUGUAUUAAUUUAUAAUAUAUAAAGUAAUAUUUAUAAAAAUUUAAUUUAAGUAUUAAAAUGUAAAUUAAAAUAAUUAAAAUUUAGUGAUAAUGAUAAAAUUAGUAUAAAUUUAUGUUUGAAUAAUUUGGUUAAUUAGAUUAAUUUAAGGAAUUCGGCAAAUGAAAUAUUCACCUGUUUAACAAAAACAUGUCUUUUUGAUAAAAAUAUAAAGUCUAACCUGCCCACUGAAAAAUUUGAAGGGCCGCGGUAUUUUGACUGUGCAAAGGUAGCAUAAUCAUUAGUCUUUUAAUUGAAGGCUUGUAUGAAUGGUUGGAUGAAAUAUUAACUGUCUCAAAUUAAUAUUUAGAAAUUAAUUUUUAAGUUAAAAAGCUUAAAUUUGGUUAUAGGACGAGAAGACCCUAUAGAUCUUUAUAAUAAGUAUAUUAUAAAUAAUUUAGUUGAUUGUAAUUUAUAAUUUAUUAAUUAUUUUGUUGGGGUGACGGAUAAAUUUAGUAAACUUUAUUUAAUAUAAACAUUUAUUUAUGAAUAAUUGAUCCAUUAUUAGUGAUUAUAAGAUUAAGUUACCUUAGGGAUAACAGCGUAAUUUUUUUAGAGAGUUCAUAUCGAUAAAAAAGUUUGCGACCUCGAUGUUGAAUUAAAGAUUAGUUUAGGUGUAGAAGUUUAAAUUUUUGGUCUGUUCGACCAUUAAAUCUUUACAUGAUUUGAGUUCAAACCGGCGUGAGCCAGGUUGGUUUCUAUCCUUAAUAAAGUAAAAUAUUUUAGUACGAAAGGACCAAAUAUUAAAAAUAAUUUUUAUUUUUAUGAAUAUUAUUU
rnacentral:rRNA from 1 species